rnacentral:tRNA from 1 species
GGUUGUGGCUCAGUGGUAGAAUGCUUGCCUAGAAUGCAUGAAUACUGGAUUCAAUCCCCUGAAUCA